rnacentral:rRNA from 1 species
UGGGCAACCUGCCCCUCUCUCUGGGAUAACCCCCGGGAAACCGGAGCUAAUACCGGAUACUCCGGCUGGAUCGCAUGGUCCGGCCGGGAAAGGUCCGCCGGAGAGGGAUGGGCCCGCGGCCUAUCAGCUUGUUGGUGGGGUCAUGGCUCACCAAGGCGACGACGGGUAGCUGGUCUGAGAGGACGACCAGCCACACUGGAACUGAGAUACGGUCCAGACUCCUACGGGAGCA